GACGAACGCUGGCGGCGUGCUUAACACAUGCAAGUCGAACGAUGAAGCCGGAGCUUGCUCUGGUGGAUUAGUGGCGAACGGGUGAGUAACACGUGAGUAACCUGCUCUUGACUCUGGGAUAAGCGUUGGAAACGACGUCUAAUACCGGAUACGAGCUAGGACCGCAUGGUCACUAGCUGGAAAGAACUUCGGUGAAGGAUGGACCGGCGGCCUAUCAGUUAGUUGGUGAGGUACCGGCGCACGAAGACGACGACGCGUAGACGGCCUGAGAGGGUGACCGGCCACACACGGCCUGAGACAGGGCCCAGCCUCCUGCGGGGGGCAGCAGUGGGGAAUAUUGCAUAAUGGGCGCAGGCCUGAUGCACCAACGCCGCGUGAGGGACGACGGCGGUCGAGGUGUAAACCUCUUUUGGCAGGGAAGAAGCGCAAGUGACGGUACCUGCAGAAAAAGCACCGGCUACCUACGUGCCAGCCGCCGCAGUAA
rnacentral:rRNA from 1 species